rnacentral:rRNA from 1 species
UACGUAGGGUCCGAGCGUUGUCCGGAAUUAUUGGGCGUAAAGGGCUCGUAGGCGGUUGGUCACGUCGGGAGUGAAAACUCAGGGCUCAACCCUGAGCGUGCUUCCGAUACGGGCAGACUAGAGGUAUGCAGGGGAGAACGGAAUUCCUGGUGUAGCGGUGGAAUGCGCAGAUAUCAGGAGGAACACCGGUGGCGAAGGCGGUUCUCUGGGCAUUACCUGACGCUGAGGAGCGAAAGCAUGGGGAGCGAACAGG